rnacentral:miRNA from 1 species
UAGCACGACCCGUGUUGGCUC